rnacentral:rRNA from 1 species
GAUACCCUAUUAUUCUCAAACCAAACAAAACCUAAAGAAGUAUCCGUUAUAUUCUCGAAACCUAAAGGAUUUGGCGGUGUUUUACAAAACCAGAGGAACCCGUUCUAUAAUCGUCAAAACACGUAAAAUCUUACCCAAAUAAAGUUCAUUUACUGUCAUUUUAAUCACACUCAAAGGCAAUAUUACCAGGCCACUCCUAAAUUAGAUAAUGUGUGGCAUCCUUGGGGACGAAUAGGUUACAUUUUAAAAACAAGUGGAAUCUUUAUGAAAAAUAGAAGAAAAAGGAUUUGUUAGUAAUUUCAUAAG